CGUUGGAUAUAGGCUAUAUAGUUUUCGCAUCCUAUCAGCACUUGAUCGCCCAGUGCUGCUUCUUGUUGUCGGCCUCGUCUCUGCUCUGUGCUGGUUGGCAUGAGAGCUCACUCAUCCUAACCAUGUCAGUUGGUGCUUGGAGGUUGCAUAUAUUCAAGAAGUUGGGAAGGCCAGGUUUUUGGAUACUCUUAGAGGCAGAGGUUUGGACUGGAAUCAAAGAGACGGCUUGGUUUUGAAUUUCUUUCACCUUUGGUGUCAGUCUGUUUUAUUGAAUUGGAAUUCGAUAUAGUGAUACAAACCUGGGGGACAAUUCUGAUUGGUCAAUAUUUUGUGAUUUCUUUUUUACUUUUUCUUGGAUUAGCCAAUUUACCAUGAAAAAAACGGGGUAAAGUAACUUUUUGUUGAUUGUUUUCAAAAUGUAAGUUUUCUUCUGCAUGUAAAAGAAGUUUACCAAACUGGCCUGCCCGGACCCCAAACAAUUCGUUGUACGCAAGCUCUCUCAUUUCAUUUUCCAAUUCAAUUUUUUUUGUUAAUUUUAUUAUUUGGUUUUGGUGUUAAGGAUGAAGCCCUUGGGGAGUAGGGAAGCUGAGGCACAAGAGGCUUGCCAAUUUGAUUAGAUAUUGCUGCGACGGUGACGAGAGGCUGCUGGUGGCCGAGUACAUACCCAAGGAUACCCUUGCUAAAUAUCUCUUCCACUGAAGCAGGUGAAGGUUUGAAAGGGCCCAGGAAAGUUUUAUGAAGAUAAGGAUGUAGUUUCUGGGGUUAGUUACAGUUUCUGUGAGAAUCAAGAUGAUAAGGAAUCUGGAAAUGUGGGAGACACUACUGAUAUAGUGGAAAGAACUGAAAAUGGUUGGAACCAAAUAUGAGAGCAAAGAAGGAGAUAUAGAAUUUCAGCAGAGAUAAAUAUCAUCUGCUUCUGGUGAAAAGAAUGUAGUGUCUCAGUCAAGGAAAGUAAUAGAUCAGAGAAUAAAAGAGAUCGAAGAUGUAGUAAAAUCAAAAUAUCCUGUUCAGAAGUGAAUUCAAAUAUCCGGAGAGUGACAGACAAGAUAAAUCAGAUGAAAGAUUAGAUGAUUAGAGCUAAAGCAUACAUGACU